UUACGACCACAUCACAUUGAGAGACCAGUUGCCGUACGAUCACCGAAGUUAAGCAACAACGAACCUGGUCAGUACCUGAAUGGGUGACCGAUUGGGAAUACCAGGUACUAU